rnacentral:lncRNA from 1 species
CGUUUUGAUACCGAAUUGGUGGUUCUGUGUGAUCGAGGAUUAAUAUACCAUCACGUUCCGUGUCGUACCCCGUUCCUUUGCGCCUGUACGGCAGAUCCGGAUCACGCCAGAUUUUGAACGGGCCCCGCUAACGAGCUCCCUGGUCCUGGAGCUGGCGCACCACCCAGCCGCUUGCCAUACCUGUAACUUUUACCGCAACGAGGCGGUGCCUCAGGUGUGCAGUGUGACGAGGGGGAAUUGGGGGGUUGCGAAUGUGGGUGUGCGCAUUGAGACGGAAGCUGAAGCUAAACGUUUGCGGCUGGCUUCUUGGUAACAUGCUUUUCGUUUGCUGCACAUGAUGUACGAAGGUGUACGGGUUGAUUAGCUGUUUUGUUGGUGCGGCCUUUGGUGGUAGACACCAAGUUUCCAGUAUAGGUGUGUAGUUGUUGUUAUUACAGCGUGUGUUGUGGGUCGUAGGGGUCCACGUUUCCCUCCGUGGCGUCCUUGCAACCGCGCAACUUGAUGUCCUUCUUGACAGAGGGUUGGCAUUCGACUUGAGGUUCCCUACUGGCUCCGAAAUCCCUGAGCCCUGUCAUGCCCCUGUCGGGUUAUGUGUUUUUGUGAGUCUGUGACCCACCCACUGCUCUUUUUACCGACGGACCCGCGGGUCGCAGGACGGUUCUUCGGGUCCCCCAUACGGACUGCUCCAGGGAAGUUUGGCGGGGUUGCUCAAGAUCCCGGAGAAGGAGGGCGGCGACAUAGCCAUGAGGUAGGUUGUGGAGAAGGAGGGAAAGGAAGGCGGGUGGGUGGAAAGUGCGACCGGAUGGCAAGGGGAGAGGGGACGGGUUUGAUGGAAGUUGCCGGUUAAGGGGAUGGGAGGGGCGAGCGGGGGUUUGCGUGGCUAAUACCUGUUAUGAUGCCAGAGUUGGGAGCAACCUGUCGACUGUUU